GACGAACGCUGGCGGCGUGCUUGACACAUGCCAGUCGAACGGAAAGGCCCUGCUUUUGUGGGGUGCUCGAGUGGCGAACGGGUGAGUAACACGUGAGUAACCUGCCCUUGACUUUGGGAUAACUUCAGGAAACUGGGGCUAAUACCGGAUAGGAGCUCCUGCUGCAUGGUGGGGGUUGGAAAGUUUCGGCGGUUGGGGAUGGACUCGCGGCUUAUCAGCUUGUUGGUGGGGUAGUGGCUUACCAAGGCUUUGACGGGUAGCCGGCCUGAGAGGGUGACCGGCCACAUUGGGACUGAGAUACGGCCCAGACUCCUACGGGAGGCAGCAGUGGGGAAUAUUGCACAAUGGGCGGAAGCCUGAUGCAGCAACGCCGCGUGCGGGAUGACGGCCUUCGGGUUGUAAACCGCUUUCGCCUGUGACGAAGCGUGAGUGACGGUAAUGGGUAAAGAAGCACCGGCUAACUACGUG
rnacentral:rRNA from 1 species